GGUUGAUCCUGCCGGAGGUCACCGCUAUUGGGAUUCGAUUAAGCCAUGCGAGUCGAGAGGGUUCGGCCCUCGGCGGACUGCUCAGUAACACGUGGAUAAUCUGCCCUAAGGAGGAGGAUAACCUCGGGAAACUGAGAAUAAUACUCCAUAGGUCUAGAAGGCUGGAAUGCAUCUAGACUGAAAGCUCCGGCGCCUUAGGAUGAGUCUGCGGACUAUCAGGUUGUAGUCAGGGUAAAGGCCUGACUAGCCUACGACGGAUACGGGUUGUGAGAGCAAUAACCCGGAGACGAUAUCUUAGACACGAUAUCGGGCCCUACGGGGCGCAGCAGGCGCGAAACCUUCGCACUGUGUGAAAACACGAUGAGGGGAUCCCAAGUGUAUGCACGUAAGUGUAUACUGUUUCUUUGUUUAAAAUGCAUAGAGAGUAAGGGCUGGGUAAGACGGGUGCCAGCCGCCGCGGUAAUACCUGCAGCUCAAGUGGUGACCGCUAUUAUUGGGCCUAAAACGUCCGUAGCCUGCUUGGUAAAUGCCUGGGUAAAUCGUGCCGCUUAACGGUACGAAUUCCGGGUAGACUGCUAAGCUUGAGACCGGGAGAAGUUAGAGGUACUCCUGGGGUAGAGGUGAAAUUCUGUAAUCCUAGGGGGACCACCAGUGGCGAAAGCGUCUAACUAGAACGGGUCUGACGGUGAGGGACGAAGCCCUGGGGCGCGAACCGGAUUAGAUACCCGGGUAGUCCAGGGUGUAAACGCUGCUUGCUUGAUGUUAGUCGGGCUCCGAGCCCGAUUAGUGUCGGAGAGAAGUUGUUAAGCAAGCUGCCUGGGAAGUACGGCCGCAAGGCUGAAACUUAAAGGAAUUGGCGGGGGAGCACAGCAACGGGUGGAGCGUGCGGUUUAAUUGGAUUC
rnacentral:rRNA from 1 species